rnacentral:lncRNA from 1 species
UUUAUUUAUUUUUUUUUUUUUUUUUUUGUAUAUAGUAAUUUUAAGAUUAUUACAAAUGCAAAAUUACGAUUAUGAGUUUAGAACAAAAAAAAAAAAAUAAAAAAAAAAAAAAUAUUAUAUUACAUAUAUAUUUAUAUAUUGUCAUAAUUAUUAGACAAAUGUGAGUACCAUUUUUUUUUUUUUUUUUACAUGUGAAUAAUAAUAUACUGCUUAAAAUUUCUUAAGGUCCCUUUAAUAACAUUCACUGGUGAUUAAUAUUAUUUAACAUCACAUACUAACAUAUUACAACAAAAAUUAAGGUGUCAUGUUAUAAUAUACCCAUUAAGCUUGAUUACGUACGUAUAUGUACACACGCCUAUACAUAUACAUAUAUAUAAAUAUAUUUAUUGAUACAUUAUAUUAUUCCUAGAUGUUAAAGCUUAUAACAUAUAUGCUAUUUAUAUUUAUUAUUGAUGUUUAAUAUAAAAAUAAAAAAUUAGUUAUACAACAACAAAAAAAUAAGCUAGAUAUGUAUAUAUAAAGAUAUAUGUAUGUAUUGACAUUAAGUGUAUUACAUGUAUAUGCUAAUAAAAUAUAUGUAAGUCAAAAAAAAAAAAAAAAAAAAAAAAAAAAAAAAAAAAAAAAAAAAAAAAAAAAAAAAAUCAAUAAAUAAAUAAAUAUAGGCAUAUGUGUAUAUAUAUAUUUCUCCUAUUUACGUCAUACAUGCAUACGCAAAACGCGUAGUUUUAUUUAAUAAGUCUGAGUAAUUCUAAAUAUAUAUAUAUAUAUAUAUAUGU